rnacentral:rRNA from 1 species
CGUAGGGUGCAAGCGUUAAUCGGAAUUACUGGGCGUAAAGCGUGCGCAGGCGGUUUUGUAAGUCUGACGUGAAAAGCCCCCGGGCGUCAACCUGGGAAGUUGUCGUUGGAGACUGCAAGGCUUGAAUCUGGCGAGAGGGGGGUAGGAAUUCCACGUGUAGCAGUGAAAUAGCGUAGAGAUGUGGAGGAACACCGAUGGCGAAGGCAGCCCCCUCGGUCAAGAUUGACGCUCAUGCACGAAAGCGUGGGGAGCAAACAGGAUU